AUUAUGGAGAGUUUGAUCCUGGCUCAGAGUGAACGCUGGCGGCGUGCCUAACACAUGCAAGUCGAACG
rnacentral:rRNA from 1 species